rnacentral:rRNA from 1 species
UGCGUAGGCGGGUUUCUAAGUCAGAGGUGAAAGCCUGGAGCUCAACUCCAGAACUGCCUUUGAUACUGGAAGUCUUGAGUAUGGCAGAGGUGAGUGGAACUGCGAGUGUAGAGGUGAAAUUCGUAGAUAUUCGCAAGAACACCAGUGGCGAAGGCGGCUCACUGGGCCAUUACUGACGCUGAGGUGCGAAAGCGUGGGAGCAAACA